AUUGAACGCUAGCGGGAUGCUUUACACAUGCAAGUCGAACGAGGGGCGGAAGGGUGAGUAAUAUAUCGGAACGGGCCCAGUAGCGGGGGAUAACUACUCGAAAGAGUGGCUAAUAAAGCAAACUAUUGGAGCGGCCGAUAUCGGAUUAGCUAGUGGGGGGGGUAAAGGCUCACCAAGGCAACAAUCCGUAGCUGGUUUGAGAGGACGAACAGCCACACUGUGACUGGGACACGGCCCAGACUCCUACGGGAGGCAGCAGUGGGGAAUUUUGGACAAUGGUGGAAACCCUGAUCCAGCCAUCCCGCGUGUAUGAGAAGGCCUUCGGGUUGUAAAGUACUUUUGGCAGAGAAGCGGUAUCUGCAGAAUAAGCACCGGCUAACUUCGUGCCAGCAGCCGCGGUUAAUUC
rnacentral:rRNA from 1 species